UGAAGAGUAGUAGAAGUUACAAGCACAGAGUGUUAGGGCUCAGAUACACCAAUAGCGUUUGCUGGCCGAGAAUAUUUAGCACCUCUGAACGAAAUUUGAGAACCGAGUGCGCACCGAUUUUACAUUUGGAAUUGUGUGAAAAAUAUUGACAGAUGAAACAGAAGAAUGCUAGAUCCACAUUCAAUGUGUGUGAGCCUUAGUUACCAUUGCUUGUACCUCUGUGUUGGGAGUGUGGCCUGGUGAGCUAUUUAAAACAUACUCCAAUUGACAAACUGGCCUGUCUGAGAGUUAACAAUAACAGACAGGUGCUGUUACCCAGGUACAGUGAAUUGUUGAUGAUUUUCACGGAGCACAUGAUGCAAGCGGUAGGUUCCUUGGAACACACGUACAUGCACAUACUGUCAUUUGUUCUGGUCUGCAUUGUCUGGCAUUACAAAAUGUCUCCCCUUUUCCGAACUUUUCUUUAAUGUAAUAAGUGCUACUUCCAACCUCAAUUGUAAGACCAGAAAUGAGCCUAUAUGUUAUGGAUUAGGCCUUAUAAAUACUCCAGAACAUUAACCAUCCACAGAGUAGAAUGUUAAACAGCCCUACAACAAACAUAACACUGUACCCCAAAAUGUGCGAUUACGGGUAGUGUUUAUAACGGGUCGUAAACUAGAUUCAGCCGAUAGCCGAAUUUUGUCGGAGUGGAUGGUCUGGGGCCGGAACAUAAUUAUAGUCAUUUGUUCACUUCAAACUGACCACAAGUCAGCCAAAAAAUAGAUUGUUAUUUUCAAAUACAAUAAUUUCAUGCCUUGAUUACAUUGAGACACAAUCACGCCUAAUUUUUUAAAAUAAAUUGGAAUACUUGGGAAUAGAUUUCCUAAAUGACAUUUUGGGGGGGGCUGGUGAUUUUAGUCUUUUUUUUAAAACUGAAAACCGCCAAACUACUCUGGGGAGCCCCAAAAAAAUCACUAAUGAGCCUGUUGCUGACCCCUGGUAUAUAACAAUAUGUAACCUAUUAUAUGUAUUUAUUUUUCAAAUCUUUUUUUGCAAAGUAUUGGCUGUUUUUUUUUGUGUGUAUUUUUACUUGUAUGUUUCUCUUUUAGAGAAACUGUACUUUCAAGUAAUGCUGUUUGGCCUGAUGAUUUAUUAAUUAUAAAAUUAUUAUUUUUGUAAAAUGUUUUAAUGUAACUCUUAGUAGAUAAAAUGAGUCCCAUCUUGUUGUAGUAUACAUAAUAUCUCUUUCUAUUUUGGAAUAAGCCCAUAAAUAGCCUUUCUUUUGAAUUGAUUCAUAUUUAUUUCAGAAUAAUUGUAACUUGUUUCCUUUUAUGUUAAUCCUAUUUUUUUAUAUGAUCUGGCUUUUACCAUUCAGUUUUUCUUUUAAUUCAACUUAUAUUAUAGGGAAACAUUCCCUGGUCUAUAUUUUAAAUUGUGUGCAAUUUCUCCAGGCCUUGGUUGAAGUUUUGGUGAAGAAAAAGCCUAUGUGCCCUCUCUCCUCUGAAGACGGUUGAGAAGAAGGGAGGGGUUUAGACAAAGGCCUUCUCUACAAAAAUGGAGGUUACAACAGAGCAGCCCUGCUGUCUGUUUUUCAUUUAGUAGAUGCUGCCAUUUCUACUAUAUAAUCUGUGAAAAUAACAUAACUUGCACCAGAUGCAACCUUAGGAAACAGUAUUACAUUGUUGUGUGUGUGUUAUUUUGUGAUUUGGGCCUAGCUCUCUCUCUCUUUUUAUCUCCAUGUCUCUCCUGCACUCAGAGCUGCUCCUGCUUGCGCUGAACAAAGAUAAUUACUCAGGAAACCCUUCGGCCAAUCGGAUGCGGUCUUACAUCCCGCCUGUGACAAAGGGGCCAGUCAGGGCCUGGCUACCAUCAGACAGGCCUGAUCGCCUUGCCUGAAGAACGGAGCCUUCCCCGGCUGAGAGUGUCCUCCAUGUUUUAUAAGUGUUGCCAUAACAGUGUGUCAGGAUAGCCAUGCAUCCACAGAGUCUGGCUGAGGACGAGGUACAGACGGAGUCGGAUGUGGUAGAGGGGAUGGAUGUGGCACUGCGAUCCAAAGUGUCUGACCCCGGGUCAGCAGAGCGGGUGCUGGCGACUCAGAAGAGGAAGGUGUCCAGCCCAACCCACUCCUCCAACGGCCACUACCCCUCAGACACCUCCCCCAGCCCCUUGAAGAAGAAGAAAAAACCUGGAGCCGUCCACAGCAACAACAAAGACCAGGACAGCAGGAAUGACUUCUACUGCUGGCUGUGCCACCGCGAGGGCCAGGUGCUCUGCUGUGAGCUCUGCCCGAGGGUGUACCACGCCAAGUGCCUCAAACUGCCAGCAGAGCCCGAGGGUGACUGGUUCUGUCCAGAGUGUGAGAAAAUCACAGUAGCAGAGUGCAUAGAGACACAGAGCAAGGCCAUGACUAUGCUAACGAUAGACCAGCUGUCCUACCUGCUGAAGUUUGCCCUCCAGAAGAUGAAACAGCCGGGGACUGAGCCCUUCUGGAAGCCUGUGGCUCUGGAGCAGCACCCUGACUAUGCUGAGUACAUAUACCACCCAAUGGACCUCGCAACACUAGAGAAGAAUAUGAAAAAGAAAAUGUAUGGCUGCACAGAAUCCUUUUUGGCUGACAUGAAAUGGAUCUUACACAACUGCAUCAUCUACAAUGGAGGAAAUCACAAACUAACAGCAACAGCAAAGGUUGUUGUGAAGAUCUGUGAACAUGAAGUGAAUGAAAUUGAGGUCUGUCCGGAGUGCUACCUGUCCUCGUGCCAAAAGAGGGACAACUGGUUUUGCGAGCCAUGUGGUCACCCACACCCCCUGGUAUGGGCAAAGUUGAAGGGCUUCCCCUUCUGGCCAGCCAAAGCACUACGGGAGAAGGAUGGACAGGUGGACGCACGCUUCUUUGGACAGCAUGACCGGGCGUGGGUUCCCAUUAACAAUUGCUACCUCAUUUCCAAGGAGAUUCCCUUCUCUGUGAAGAAGACCAAGAGCAUCUUCAACAGCGCCAUGCAGGAGAUGGAGGUCUAUGUGGAGAACAUCCGCAAGAAGUUUGGGGUGUUCAACUACGCCCCCUUCCGCACCCCCUACACGCCCAACAACCAGCUUCAGAUGCUGCUGGACCCAGCCAACCCCGACGCAGGGACCGUGAAGACGGAGAAACCUGACAAGAUGCGCUUCAACUUCGACAUGACCGCAUCUCCCAAGAUGCUCUUGGGCAAGAGCUCUCUGUCGAGCGGGAUGGGGCGGAGGAUCUCUCUCACGGACAUGCCUCGCUCUCCCAUGAGCACCAACUCGUCUGUACACACAGGUUCUGACGUGGAGCAGGAUGGGAUGGAGAGAGGGCCUAGGAACCCCCCAUUCCACUACAGCGCUGGGGAGGAUUCUAUGGACUAUACUGCAUCCCCUGCCUCAGUGAAGAUGGGCCAUGCAGGCAGCAUGACGGGCAGCCCCAAGCCCUUCUCCCCUGGUCUGGUGCCCAAACAGGAGAGGGCCCCAGGCACAGGCAGCAUCCUCAAUCUCAACCUGGAUCGUGUGAAGGCUGAGAUGGACCUGAAGGAGCUCAGUGAGACAGUACAGCAUCAACAACAACAACAGGGGUCAUCACUCCUCCUCACCACCCCCAAGAGACCCAUGAGGAGCCUGGACAAGACCAUCGAGAGCUGCAAGGCCCAACUAGGCAUUGAUGAGAUCUCUGAGGAUGUAUAUAAGGGCGUGGAACACAGUGACUCUGAGGAUUCUGAAAAGUCAGACUCCAGCAACAGCGAGUACAUUAGCGACGAGGAUCACAGACCGAAGAGCGCCGCCCAUGACAACAAGGACAAAGCAGAGAGGGAGUCUAGAAAGAGGCCCAAGGCAAGCACACCGGUAGAGGACAAGGGGGCAGUCACAGGGACCAGGGAUAAAAAAAACUCUGAAGCCCUGCUCAAAGACAGACAUGGCAGCAAUGGUCCAGAGAGAGAUUCCCGGGAGAAGCCCACGACUCCCCAGACUCAGCCCCCCACAGACAGGCCCAAGGCCCUAGAGGUGGGUAGGGCAGGCGCACCCCGGGCCCUUGCUGGCCCAGACCAGGACUCCGACUCAGAGAGGGAGCUGGUGAUUGACCUGGGGGAUGAGCAGGGGGGGCAGAGACCGUAAGAGAGCCAGGAGGGAGCCAGGGUCUGUAGCCGCUAAGCCCACGAAGGAGCCCCCUGGCACCAAGCUGGAAGCCCCUCAUCAACCCCACACUCAACCUGUCCUCUAGCCAGCCCAACACGGCCUUCACCACCCCCCCCCUGCAGCUCCCACCCCAGCCACCACCCUCUCCUCCACAGCUGCCUCAGCCCAGUCGGCAGCGAAGAAACAGCGCCCCCUGCUGCCCAAAGAGACAGCUCAGGCAGUGCAGAGGGCAGUGGUGUGGAACCCCGCCAACAAGUUCCAGACGUCCUCCCAGAAGUGGCCCAUGCAGCAGGAGGAGCAGCCGACACGCAGCCCACAGCAGGUCCAGUCACAGCAGCAGUUGCAGGCAUCCUCCAGUACACGUUACCAGACCAGACAGGCAGCAAAAGCCGUGCAGCCUAAAGAUGGUCCCCAGACCUCAACCUCAUCAGUUACCUUGGUCACCUCUGGUGCCUCCUCCACCUCUUCCUCCUCUUACCUGGCAGGAGACUUCCAGAUCCCCACAGCUUCAGCAGAUGUGGCAGCUGACAUCGCAAAGUACACCAGCAAAAUGAUGGACACGAUUAAAGGGACGAUGACAGAAAUCUACAACGACCUUUCCAAAAGCACUUCAGGAAACACAAUUGCAGAGAUCCGGCGGCUGAGGAUAGAGAUAGAGAAGCUUCAGUGGCUACAUCAGCAAGAGCUGUCGGAGAUGAAACACAAUCUUGAGCUGACUAUGGCAGAGAUGAGGCAGAGUCUGGAGCAGGAGAGGGAGCGUCUGGUGGCGGAGGUGAAGAAGCAGAUGGAGGUGGAGAAACUGCAGGCAGUGGAUGAGACCAAGAAGAAGCAGUGGUGUGCGAACUGCAGGAAGGAGGCCAUCUUCUACUGCUGCUGGAACACCAGCUACUGUGACUACCCCUGCCAGCAAGCCCACUGGCCAGAACACAUGAAGUCCUGCACACAGUCAGCAACAGCUUCUCAACAGGAACCAGAGGUGGAGUCAACCUCUGAACCCUCAGCCAAACCACCAGGUCCCUCUUCCAGCGACCAGCCCCCCCUCUGGUAUAGCAUCUGCCCCCACAGACAAAGGCUCCUCUCCUACCUGCAGCGUGGACAAGUGCAAGGACAGGGCCUCUGUUACUGUGCCCUAACCACUACACUGCACUCACACAUUUUUACUCUACAAUCCUACAUUCUGUUAAAUGUAUGUAUCUGUCGGAAAGGGACUAGAGGAUAUGUACAAUAGACCAAAUCUCUCUGCGACCAACUAAUCUGGGAAUGUCGAGCGAAUCUCAGUAUGACCACAGAGGCAAUUAAACCACCAAACACCCUCAACCUCUCCUAGUCAGGCUCAGGGCUUUUAAAUGCCAUGGACACUCUUUGCAUGAAGGCCUGCUCCUCUGUGAUUCAGCUGACUUGUCCCGUCUCGAUUUGUUUAAUGUCUGCUUCGUGAUCUGAUAUUUCAAGCCAUCUUUCAUCCUCUUCAAAGUCUGUGCCCUAGACUGAAGGAGUUACUUACCUUGUCCUUGUGACUGUAUUUCAUCUGGAUGUAAUACAUUUUCAUUACCUCUCACCUCCUUUCAUCCCCAUUUGAUGUCCCUCUCACCACCUACCUUAACGAUAUAGGUAUCUACAGGAGAGCCCAUCAAAAUAUCAGACAUCAAAGUUUUCUGUAUUCUGACAGCACUCUUAAAGGAAAACUCCACCCCAAAACUAUCUUCUGGUAUUUGUUUCAUUAGCCCAUGGUUUAUAUAGUCCCAAAAUGUUUUGCAUGUCAGCAAUCAAGUUUAAGAUAUGUAAAUCUUAAAAUACAGAAAUACAGCCAGUAUGAUGCUGCGUAUUGCAUCAUUUGGGUGGAAUUUUCCUUUAGACAAUCUUAAACUGUGAUGCUGCUCUUUAAAAUAUACCCCAAGUCUUUAUAGUUAUUUGCCGACGGAAGUGAAACGGCACAUUAUUGUGCCAGCCAUUUUUGGGACAUCCAACAGAUUUAAAAUAUAAAUUCUACAUUGUCAAUACAGUUUAAAAUAUUUCAUAAUUUACUAAAUUGUCAUUAAGUUAUCAAACCCUCCCCCUGUGUGUGCAUUAUUGGUUCAUACUCAUAUUAUAUAGUAAUUCAGUGUUUACAUAGAAUUUAACCAACUGUGAUGUAUAAAAAUAAAAAAACAUAAUGGCUAAAACUGUACAAUGUUUUUGUAAGAAGACACAUGGACGAUAUUUAUAGUGCUUACAACAAGCAUAUGAGGUUCUCUUUUUUUAUAUCACUGUUUGUGAAUGUUCAAAAUGUCUUGAAACAGCUCGACUCUGGAAAACAGUUGUAUUUGAAAAUGCAUUAUAAGACUUCCUAUGAAUGUCACUAGGACCCUCUGUUCAGACUGUCAGAUCUAUUUCUCGCGUCUACCUUCGUUUUUGUGGUUACUUCGGACUAUGAUAAAGCGUGUUGGAGGGUAAAGGAAACUACAAAAGUUAUUAUUAUACUGAGCAUGUUUAUUUGUCCCCUUUUUUGUCUCACGUGCUCUUGUUUACAUAUUGUACAUACAGUAAAUGGAUUGUUAAUGUCUUAAAGAAAACAAUUAAAACGGGUCUGACCAA